GCCAGGGAGAUCUACCACAAAAACUAUUUAUUUUCUUAGGAGACUAAUGGAAAUAUUUAGAGCAUAUGAGAAAGACAUUCAUAUGGCCUUUAUUGAUUUAGAAAAAGCUUAUGAUAGAGUGCCUAGAGAGUUAAAACAAGUGACAAAGGCAU